UACGGAGGGUACAAGCGUUGUCCGGAUUUAUUGGGUUUAAAGGGUGCGUAGGCGGUCUUUUAAGUCAGUGGUGAAAUCCUCCAGCUUAACUGGAGAACUGCCAUUGAUACUGGGAGACUUGAGUACAGACGAGGUAGGCGGAAUUGACAGUGUAGCGGUGAAAUGCAUAGAUAUUGUCAAGAACACCGAUUGCGAAGGCAGCUUACUAGACUGUAACUGACGCUGAGGCACGAAAGUGUGGGGAUCAAACAGG
rnacentral:rRNA from 1 species